rnacentral:tRNA from 1 species
AAGGGUUUAUCUCAAGGGGUAGAGCGCAUGCUUAGCAUGCAUGAGGUCCUGGGUUCAAUCCCCAGUACCUCCU